CCUACGGGUGGCAGCAGUGGGGGAUAUUGCACAAUGGAGGAAACUCUGAUGCAGCGACGCCGCGUGAGGGAAGACGGUCUUCGGAUUGUAAACCUCUGUCUUUGGGGAAGAAAAAGACGGUAACCAAAGAGGCAGCCCCGGCAAACUACGUGCCAGCAGCCGCGGUAAUACGUAGGGAGCGAGCGUUGUCCGGAAUUACUGGGUGGAAAGGGGUCGUAGGCGGGCGAGAAAGUUGAAUGUUAAAUCUACCGGCUUAACUGGUAGCUGCGUUCAAAACUGCGUGUCUUGAGUGAAGUAGAGGCGAGCGGAAUUCCUAGUGUAGCGGUGAAAUGCGUAGAUAUUAGGAGGAACACCAGUGGCGAAGGCGGCCUGCUGGGCUUUAACUGACGCUGAGGCUCGAAAGCGUGGGGAGCAAACAGGAUUAGAUACCCCUGUAGUC
rnacentral:rRNA from 1 species